AAUUGUUCGCAAUGGGCGCAAGCCUGACGACGCAACGCCGCGUGGAGGAUGAAGGUCUUCGGAUUGUAAACUCCUGUUGAUCGGGACGAACAACCAUCGGGAUAACACCCCGGAGGUCUGACGGUACCGAUUCAGAGAACCCCGGCUAACUCUGUGCCAGCAGCCGCGGUAAUACAGAGGGGGCAAGCGUUGUUCGGAAUUACUGGGCGUAAAGCGCACGUAGGCGGCGCGAACAGUCAGAGGUGAAAGGCCUGGGCUCAACCUGGGAACUGCCUUUGAUACUCGCGUGCUUGAGUCCGGAAGAGGGUGGCGGAAUUCCCAGUGUAGAGGUGAAAUUCGUAGAUAUUGGGAAGAACACCGGUGGCGAAGGCGGUCACCUGGUCCGGUACUGACGCUGAGGUGCGAAAGCGUGGGGAGCCAAC
rnacentral:rRNA from 1 species